GAGAAAAUGGGAUUAUUCUGCCAAUUGUGUUGCCUGCUCAAGCAAUGGAGAGAUUUAUAAUGGAGCUUAAGAGUAUUUUAGAGAACCUAUCCAUUGGUGGCGGUACCACUAAAUCUGCCUUGUAGAUGUGAAAGGAAGGUGAAGGUGUUGCUAUUUAAAACUAAAAAUUCUAAAAUUAUGUUGGAUGAUUUAUACAAUAAUAAAAUAAAUUUAUAGUGUAAUGCAGAAA